UACAGAGGGUGCGAGCGUUGUCCGGAAUCACUGGGCGUAAAGGGCGCGUAGGCGGUCUCUUAAGCGUGUGGUGAAAGCCCGGGGCUCAACUCCGGGUCGGCCGUGCGAACUGGGGGACUGGAGCUUGUCAGAGGCAGGCGGAAUUCCGGGUGUAGUGGUGAAAUGCGUAGAGAUCCGGAGGAACCCCAGAGGCGAAGGCGGCAUCCUGGACUGGUCCUGACACUCAUGAGCGAAAGCGUGGGGAGCGAUCCGG
rnacentral:rRNA from 1 species